CCGCCCGUCACACCAUGGGAGUCAGUUGCUCCAGAAGUGGCUGUGCCAACCGCAAGGAGGCAGGUCCCCAAGGAGUGACUGGUGACUGGGGUG
rnacentral:rRNA from 1 species